rnacentral:rRNA from 1 species
CAGUCGCCGCGGUAAUACGGAGGGUGCAAGCGUUACUCGGAAUCACUGGGCGUAAAGGGUGCGUAGGCGGGUCUUUAAGUCAGGGGUGAAAUCCUGGAGCUCAACUCCAGAACUGCCUUUGAUACUGAAGAUCUUGAGUUCGAGAGAGGUGAGUGGAACUGCGAGUGUAGAGGUGAAAUUCGUAGAUAUUCGCAAGAACACCAGUGGCGAAGGCGGCUCACUGGCCCGAUGCUGACGCUGAGGCACGAAAGCGUGGGGAGCAAACAGGAUUAGAUACCCCAGUAGUCCCUGUCUCUUAUAC